rnacentral:lncRNA from 1 species
UUUAUGCUUGCUCCACAGACACUGAAUAAAUAUUUGCAUAUCAAUAUGAACUAUAAAUGCACUUUGGAUGAACGUGUCUGUAUGCUCAUAUGAAUUACUCUGUCGAACUCUCCCUAACUCUCCCCUACCUGUUUUUACCACCCCUACCGCUCUCUACCUCCCCUACCUCUCUCUACUUCCCCCUACCUCUCUCUACUUCCCCUACCUCUCUCUACUUUCCCCCCUACCUCUCGCUACUUCCCCUACCUCUCUCUUACUUCCCCUACCUCUCUCUACCUCGCCUACCUUGCUACAAUCCCCGACCUCUCUACUACUUCCCCACUACCUCUCUCUACUCCCCUACCCCUCUCUACCUCCCUAACUCUCUCUACCCUCCCCUACCUCUCUCACUUCCCACUCUCUCUCUAUCUACUUCCCUACCACUCUCUACUUCCCCCUACAUCUAUCUACCUCCCUGACCUCUCUCUAACUCCUCCUACUCUCUACUCCCCUAAUCUCUCUACUUCCCCUUACCUCUCUCACCUCCCCUACCUCUCUCUACUUUCCCCUACCCUCUCUCUACCCCCCUAUCUUUCUCUACCUCCCCUACCUCUCUCUACUUCCCCUACCUCUCUCUCCCUCCCCGACCUCUCUCACCUCCCCUUACCUUCUCUCUACCUCCCCUACCGCUCUCUACCUCUCUCUACUUCCCCCUACCUCUCUCUACCUCUCUCUACUUCCCCCUACCUCUCUCUACCUCCCUACGCUCUCUACUCCCCUACCGCUCUCUACCCCCUCCCCACCUCCUCUCAUUCCCCCUACCCCACUCUCUCUACCUCACUCUACUUCCCCUACCUCUCUCUACCUCCUCUACUUCCCCCACCUCUCUCUCCCCCCCUCACCCCCUACCUCUCUCUACCGCACGACCUCUCUCUACCUCCCCUAGCGCUCACUACCUUCCCUACCUCUAUCUCCCCCAACUCUCUCUACCUCCACUACCACUCUCUAACUGCUCUCUCUCUUUUAGAGCCACACGAACACACAGCCAGCCUAGCAUCAUAUACAAUAUUCACUCUCACCCCUCCAGGAAAUUGGGACAUCCAUAUAUUUGAUGUCCUUGUGGUGAAUCCCUUGAAUCGUUAGCUCUUCUCUCUCCCUCUGUAAGAGACGUCUUCAGUGCCCUACCAUGCAAAUGAUCCUUCUUCUGAUACCUCCUACACAGUGGCCCCUCCAAGACAUAUACAUGUGGAAGUGACAGCCGGGUCUUGAAAAAUGCAUAAAUCCCAUUUAAAGUGCAUGUAAAGCAAUUAAAGAGUGGCUAGCACCAGUUAAGCAAGGAAUUCAAUUCUCUAUGUGGCAACACUAGGUUGACAAAUUGUCCCUGUGAAGCCAGCGCAGGCAGGCAGGC